UACGAAGGGGGCUAGCGUUGUUCGGAAUUACUGGGCGUAAAGCGUGCGCAGGCGGCUUCUCAAGUCAGGGGUGAAAGCCCAGAGCUUAACUCUGGAAUUGCCUUUGAGACUGAGAGGCUUGAGUACGGGAGAGGUGAGUGGAAUUCCUAGUGUAGAGGUGAAAUUCGUAGAUAUUGGGAAGAACACCGGUGGCGAAGGCGGCUCACUGGCCCGUAACUGACGCUCAUGCACGACAGCGUGGGGAUCAAACAGG
rnacentral:rRNA from 1 species